CCUAUAMMUGCAAGUCGAACGCUUCUUUUUCCACCGGAGCUUGCUCCACCGGAAAAAGAGGAGUGGCGAACGGGUGAGUAACACGUGGGUAACCUGCCCAUCAGAAGGGGAUAACACUUGGAAACAGGUGCUAAUACCGUAUAACAAUCRAAACCGCAUGGUUUUGAUUUGAAAGGCGCUUUCGGGUGUCGCUGAUGGAUGGACCCGCGGUGCAUUAGCUAGUUGGUGAGGUAACGGCUCACCAAGGCCACGAUGCAUAGCCGACCUGAGAGGGUGAUCGGCCACAUUGGGACUGAGACACGGCCCAAACUCCUACGGGAGGCAGCAGUAGGGAAUCUUCGGCAAUGGACGAAAGUCUGACCGAGCAACGCCGCGUGAGUGAAGAAGGUUUUCGGAUCGUAAAACUCUGUUGUUAGAGAAGAACAAGGAUGAGAGUAACUGUUCAUCCCUUGACGGUAUCUAACCAGAAAGCCACGGCUAACUACGUGCCAGCAGCCGCGGUAAUACGUAGGUGGCAAGCGUUGUCCGGAUUUAUUGGGCGUAAAGCGAGCGCAGGCGGUUUCUUAAGUCUGAUGUGAAAGCCCCCGGCUCAACCGGGGAGGGUCAUUGGAAACUGGGAGACUUGAGUGCAGAAGAGGAGAGUGGAAUUCCAUGUGUAGCGGUGAAAUGCGUAGAUAUAUGGAGGAACACCAGUGGCGAAGGCGGCUCUCUGGUCUGUAACUGACGCUGAGGCUCGAAAGCGUGGGGAGCAAACAGGAUUAGAUACCCUGGUAGUCCACGCCGUAAACGAUGAGUGCUAAGUGUUGGAGGGUUUCCGCCCUUCAGUGCUGCAGCUAACGCAUUAAGCACUCCGCCUGGGGAGUACGACCGCAAGGUUGAAACUCAAAGGAAUUGACGGGGGCCCGCACAAGCGGUGGAGCAUGUGGUUUAAUUCGAAGCAACGCGAAGAACCUUACCAGGUCUUGACAUCCUUUGACCACUCUAGAGAUAGAGCUUCCCCUUCGGGGGCAAAGUGACAGGUGGUGCAUGGUUGUCGUCAGCUCGUGUCGUGAGAUGUUGGGUUAAGUCCCGCAACGAGCGCAACCCUUAUUGUUAGUUGCCAUCAUUCAGUUGGGCACU
rnacentral:rRNA from 1 species